rnacentral:rRNA from 1 species
AUUGAACGCUGGCGGAAUGCUUUACACAUGCAAGUCGAACGGCAGCACGGGUGCUUGCACCUGGUGGCGAGUGGCGAACGGGUGAGUAAUGCGUCGGAACGUACCGAGUAAUGGGGGAUAACGCAGCGAAAGUUGUGCUAAUACCGCAUACGCCCUGAGGGGGAAAGUGGGGGACCGCAAGGCCUCACGUUAUUCGAGCGGCCGACGUCUGAUUAGCUAGUUGGUGGGGUAAAGGCCUACCAAGGCGACGAUCAGUAGCGGGUCUGAGAGGAUGAUCCGCCACACUGGGACUGAGACACGGCCCAGACUCCUACGGGAGGCAGCAGUGGGGAAUUUUGGACAAUGGGCGCAAGCCUGAUCCAGCCAUUCCGCGUGAGUGAAGAAGGCCUUCGGGUUGUAAAGCUCUUUCGGCAGGAACGAAACGGCGGGCUCUAACAUAGCCUGUUACUGACGGUACCUGCAGAAGAAGCACCGGCUAACUACGUGCCAGCAGCCGCGGUAAUACGUAGGGUGCGAGCGUUAAUCGGAAUUACUGGGCGUAAAGCGUGCGCAGGCGGAUUGUUAAGCAAGACGUGAAAUCCCCGGGCUUAACCUGGGAAUGGCGUUUUGAACUGGCAGUCUAGAGUGCGUCAGAGGGGGGUGGAAU